UUUCUAGCUUGCUAGAAGAUGGCGACCGGCGCACGGGUGAGUAACGCGUAUGCAACCUACCUUAUACUGGGGGAUAGCCCAGAGAAAUCUGGAUUAAUACCGCAUAAUAUGUUUGAAUCGCAUGGUUUAAAUAUUAAAACUCCGGUGGUGUAAGAUGGGCAUGCGUAGCAUUAGUUAGUUGGUGAGGUAACGGCUCACCAAGACAAUGAUGCUUAGGGGGUCUGAGAGGAUAGUCCCCCACACUGGUACUGAGACACGGACCAGACUCCUACGGGAGGCAGCAGUGAGGAAUAUUGGUCAAUGGACGCAAGUCUGAACCAGCCAUGUCGCGUGCAGGAUGACGGCCCUAUGGGUUGUAAACUGCUUUUUUACAGGAAUAAUUGUCGCUACGUGUAGUGAUUUGAAUGUACUGUAUGAAUAAGGAUCGGCUAACUCCGUGCCAGCAGCCGCGGUAAUACGGAGGAUUCGAGCGUUAUCCGGAUUUAUUGGGUUUAAAGGGUCCGUAGGCGGUUCUUUAAGUCAGUGGUGAAAUCCCAGAGCUCAACUCUGGAACUGCCAUUGAAACUGA
rnacentral:rRNA from 1 species